rnacentral:rRNA from 1 species
UACGUAGGUGGCAAGCGUUACUCGGAAUCACUAGGCGUAAAGCGCAGGUAGGAGGUUUGGUAAGUCUGUUGUGAAAGCUCCCGGCUUAACUGGGAGAGGUCAACGGAAACUACUAGGCUAGAGUGCGGUAGAGGUAGCUAGAAUUCCCGGUGUAGCGGUGAAAUGCGUAGAUAUCGGGAGGAAUACCUAUGGCGAAAGCAGGCUACUGGACCGUCACUGACUCUGAUCUGCGAAAGCUAGGGGAGCAAACAGG